ensembl:lncRNA
AUAAAACAAUACCCAGAAGUGAGUGAUUUCCCAAACUGCAGGGCAUGAGCAGCAGCGAGCUGUCUCGCAGACAGGCCGUCUCUGAGUGCCCCAGCAGGGACAGGAUGGUAUGAAUGAUGCAUGGCUUUACCACUUCCCAAAGCGCUGUGCUAUAUGAGGUGGCUGAGUAACUGAACAGACACAUAGUGCAUGUGAAACAGAAUCAGAGAGCAGAUACUGAAAUGUGCACCUACUCUGAUACUGUGCACAGAAGCACAGGUAUAGUUUCAGAAAACAAAAGGGAGAAGCGGUUUUACACACAGCUACGUGCAUGUGUGUGUACACAUCCAUAAGGUGGGGGUAUGAGUGGCAGUACGCACAAAGACACAUGCACAGACGUCAGUGUCAGCUGUAUGGGUGUGUACCAAACCAUAAGCUUAACCACAGAAUACACACUUUAAAUACCCUUUUAUGCCUGCCAUACAGUCAGUCCAACUUUAUUUCACUCAAUGACACCAUCAUGGGAUGCUCAGGGCUGCUGAUUUUGGGUCUUGUCCUAAAUGUUGCUCACUGCUUGGAAAGUCUGGAUGGAGAGGUGGAGAUCACACACAACAUCACAGCAGUCCUGGGAGAGGAUGUGUACCUGCCCUGUAGAUAUCUGGGCAAGAGUGAGAUUGAGAGUGCCAAGUGGAGACGCCAGAUUAACUCUAAGCGUAAAUCUGCGGGACUGGCAGGGUUUGAUAAUGGCCUGCCAUUUAACCGCACUGGCUUCUCAGCCCCAGACUCUAUCACCAACCUCACAGUUAAGAUGGAUGUGUCCAGUGUGGAUGUAGAGGGAGAAUACAUAUGUGAGUUUGAAUCAACGGCUGAUUAUAAUUCUGACAGCGUAUUCCUCACGGUAGUAGCUCGGCCUGAUAUCCAGAUCCAGGUGAAUGCAGAGACCAUAAACGGCUCUCACUACCAGUCGGUGCAGUGCUCUGCCGUCGCCGGCAGGCCUCCGCCUCAGAUCAGCUGGCUAGUCAACGGCCUUCCUCCUUCAGAUUACCCUUUUACUGUGAACGUGACUGAUACUGUUCACUCAAACGGCACCUCCACCCUGAGCAGUAUCCUCCACUUCCCCACCCACCUGCUGGACGAGGACAGCGUGACCUGUGUGAUCAAACACCCGACCCUCCCAAACCCCAAACUCACCACAGUCAGGGUGGAAACGUACACGAGGCCAAAUGUGACCAUUAAAGCAGAGAUGAUACAACAAGGAGGAAGUGAGUUCUGGGUGGUCUCUUGCAUUUCGUCUGGAGGGAGACCUGCCACUGACAUGUCCUUGGCUUUGAACACCGAUGAAGAGCUGCAGACAGAGAACAACACAGACUCAGACAUACAAACAAGCUCAGUCUUCCUCCCUGCAUUAGUUUAUGAGGGGCACAAUGUCACCUGUGUGUUUGACCACCCCAAAUUUACACAGAAAGUGUCACAAGUCAUCACACUGCCGUCUUUUUAUUUGUCAGGAGGUCAGCUGUUGAACUCAGAGGAGGGAAGCAACAGUGGUGACUUCCAAGAUUCUGAAUAUUCAGAGCUGCAGGAAGGACAGACUGACUCCUUCAUCAGACUGCCAAUCACUGGGAAUGUGCCACGUUACAAUGUUACCUGCAAAACAGAUGAUGGACCCUUGCCUGAGGGUGUGGAGCUGGUUGGCAGCAGCCUCAAAGUUCAGGGUCCUGUGGGCCAUCGGCAUGCUGGCCUGUAUGAAUGUUUGGUCUCGUAUCACCAUCUCCAAGCAACGCUGAGGUUUAAUGUCACAGUUAAACCUCAAGUUAUACAGCCUGUUCCUCCCACAAUACGAGUUGAUUCGCAGACCAAAGAUGGACGCAGGGUGAUUGAGUGCUCAGCAGCUGAUGCUGUUCCUGCAGCCAACAUGUCCUGGCUUCUACCAGAGGGUGUGUCUGGAGUCUCUUGGUUCAAUUUCACUUCUCAUAAUGGAAGCCACUCUGUCAAGGGAGUUUUAUUCCUCCCUGCCUGCUCGCCUUGGAAGCUCACUGCAGAGUGUGUGAUAAAUCACCCUGCAUUUGAGGAGCCAGAGAACAGGAGCGUAACACUCCCUCGUUGCGCUCCCCCAAAUAUUACCAUCAACUCCAGCACUGAGUGGAAAGACGGUCACAAGUACACAAAGGUGGACUGCUCUGUGGAAAGUGUUGCCCCCGCAGCAACCAUAACCUGGCACGUUGAAAACAAUGACAACAGCAUCAGUUAUGUGUCAGAGACUCCAGAAGAUCGGGCUGAUGGACUGGUAUCGGCCCAUAGUUCUGUGCACAUCUUGUCUUCUUUGUAUUCUGGUCAGAAUUUGACCUGCAUGGUGGAGCAUCCGAGCCUGGAGGCACCAGAAGAAAGAACAAUACACAUUCUUGUGCACGAAGCCCCUCUGCUGAGUGUGUCUGUGGAAAGACAGCACGGCUCUACCCUCUGGCUGGCAGUGUGCGAAUGCAGAGGGGAGGGUGUCGGGCGGAACCUCGCCUGGGUUCUUCCCGAAAAUGCUAAAAGCCAAACAUCCCUGCAGUCAGAGUAUGAAGGCAAAGUCCUGAAAGCCAGGCUGACCUAUCAGUUUCCUCUGGCCCUUCAUGAGGGGCAGGACCUCACCUGUAUCUAUCAUUUCGAACAUGGAGCAACCGAGAAGAAGAAGAUUCACAUCCCCAGAUACUACAUCUCCGCUGUGAGAGUCCUAAACCACACAACUCCUCUGCAAAGCCGCUACGGUGGUGAACCCAUCAAACACAGGCUGGCUCUCCAGGAAAAUCAUCACAACCAGAAAAUACUGCUCCGAGUCGAAGGCAACAUGCCAGAGUACAACCUCAACUGUAGAAGGAGUGAUGGCUCAUUUGUCCAAAUGGAAGGGCUUGCAAUGGUCUUCCAGUCAGCACUCACAGAGCUGGACGAAGGCCUGUACACCUGCCAGGCAUCCUUCUAUCACCACACGGCCACAGUCAACAUUCAAGUGGAGGUCAUGAGCGAGGACAAAUUGUUUGCACUGGUGACCAUGAUCUGCAUAUCCUCGGCCUCGGCUAUUAUGCUUAUGCUCGUCGUCACUCUCUGGGUGUGCUGCAUAGUCAGUAACAAGACAAAAUAUAAGAAGCCGGAGUCUCUCUCGGCCUUGACAACUCUGAUGCAGGAGCCUGGCUCUCCUGAGGUGAAGAAGCCACCGGUGACAGAAAAAGACGGCCAGCAAUACACUCAGCUGGUCAGUUACUCCAUAGUCAUUGAUGUCAAGAGCACAGUGUGAAGACAAAAGGUGCUUUGAUUUCUCAUUCAGCUUCAAAUUGUGCACAAUUAGAUAUGAAGGCUUACUGGAACUG